rnacentral:rRNA from 1 species
GUGUACGUACAAGCAGUGGGAGCACAGAGCAAUCUGUGUGACUGCGUACCUUUUGUAUAAUGGGUCAGCGACUUAUAUUCUGUAGCAAGGUUAACCGAAUAGGGGAGCCGAAGGGAAACCGAGUCUUAACUGGGCGUUAAGUUGCAGGGUAUAGACCCGAAACCCGGUGAUCUAGCCAUGGGCAGGUUGAAGGUUGGGUAACACUAACUGGAGGACCGAACCGACUAAUGUUGAAAAAUUAGCGGAUGACUUGUGGCUGGGGGUGAAAGGCCAAUCAAACCGGGAGAUAGCUGGUUCUCCCCGAAAGCUAUUUAGGUAGCGCCUCGUGAAUUCAUCUCCGGGGGUAGAGCACUGUUUCGGCAAGGGGGUCAUCCCGACUUACCAACCCGAUGCAAACUGCGAAUACCGGAGAAUGUUAUCACGGGAGACACACGGCGGGUGCUAACGUCCGUCGUGAAGAGGGAAACAACCCAGACCGCCAGCUAAGGUCCCAAAGUCAUGGUUAAGUGGGAAACGAUGUGGGAAGGCCCAGACAGCCAGGAUGUUGGCUUAGAAGCAGCCAUCAUUUAAAGAAAGCGUAAUAGCUCACUGGUCGAGUCGGCCUGCGCGGAAGAUGUAACGGGGCUAAACCAUGCACCGAAGCUGCGGCAGCGACGCUUAUGCGUUGUUGGGUAGGGGAGCGUUCUGUAAGCCUGUGAAGGUGUACUGUGAGGUAUGCUGGAGGUAUCAGAAGUGCGAAUGCUGACAUAAGUAACGAUAAAGCGGGUGAAAAGCCCGCUCGCCGGAAGACCAAGGGUUCCUGUCCAACGUUAAUCGGGGCAGGGUGAGUCGACCCCUAAGGCGAGGCCGAAAGGCGUAGUCGAUGGGAAACAGGUUAAUAUUCCUGUACUUGGUGUUACUGCGAAGGGGGGACGGAGAAGGCUAUGUUGGCCGGGCGACGGUUGUCCCGGUUUAAGCGUGUAGGCUGGUUUUCCAGGCAAAUCCGGAAAAUCAAGGCUGAGGCGUGAUGACGAGGCACUACGGUGCUGAAGCAACAAAUGCCCUGCUUCCAGGAAAAGCCUCUAAGCAUCAGGUAACAUCAAAUCGUACCCCAAACCGACACAGGUGGUCAGGUAGAGAAUACCAAGGCGCUUGAGAGAACUCGGGUGAAGGAACUAGGCAAAAUGGUGCCGUAACUUCGGGAGAAGGCACGCUGAUAUGUAGGUGAAGUCCCUCGCGGAUGGAGCUGAAAUCAGUCGAAGAUACCAGCUGGCUGCAACUGUUUAUUAAAAACACAGCACUGUGCAAACACGAAAGUGGACGUAUACGGUGUGACGCCUGCCCGGUGCCGGAAGGUUAAUUGAUGGGGUCAGCGCAAGCGAAGCUCUUGAUCGAAGCCCCGGUAAACGGCGGCCGUAACUAUAACGGUCCUAAGGUAGCGAAAUUCCUUGUCGGGUAAGUUCCGACCUGCACGAAUGGCGUAAUGAUGGCCAGGCUGUCUCCACCCGAGACUCAGUGAAAUUGAACUCGCUGUGAAGAUGCAGUGUACCCGCGGCAAGACGGAAAGACCCCGUGAACCUUUACUAUAGCUUGACACUGAACAUUGAGCCUUGAUGUGUAGGAUAGGUGGGAGGCUUGGAAGUGUGGACGCCAGUCUGCAUGGAGCCGACCUUGAAAUACCACCCUUUAAUGUUUGAUGUUCUAACGUUGACCCGU